rnacentral:rRNA from 1 species
UGAAGCGGCAACAGCUCAAAUUUGAAAUCUGGCGCAAGCCCGAGUUGUAAUUUGUAGAGGAUGUUUCUGGCGACGUGCCUUCCGAGUUCCCUGGAACGGGACGCCAUAGAGGGUGAGAGCCCCGUACGGUUGGAUGCCUAGCCUCUGUGAAACUCCUUCGACGAGUCGAGUAGUUUGGGAAUGCUGCUCUAAAUGGGAGGUAUACGUCUUCUAAAGCUAAAUACCGGCCAGAGACCGAUAGCGCACAAGUAGAGUGAUCGAAAGAUGAAAAGCACUUUGAAAAGAGGGUUAAAAAGUACGUGAAAUUGUUGAAAGGGAAGCGUUCAUGACCAGACUUGGGCAGGUUGAUCAUCCGUGGUUCUCCGCGGUGCACUCUGCCUGCCCAGGCCAGCAUCAGUUCGCCCCGGGGGAUAAAGGCUUUGGGAAUGUGGCUCCCUCGGGAGUGUUAUAGCCCACUGUGUAAUACCCUGGGGUGGACUGAGGUUCGCGCUCUGCAAGGAUGCUGGCGUAAUGGUCAUCAACGACCCGUCUUGAAACACGGACCAAGGAGUCGUCUUCGUAUGCGAGUGUUCGGGUGUCAAACCCCUACGCGUAAUGAAAGUGAACGUAGGAGAGAGCUUCGGCGCAUCUCCGACCGAUCCUGAUGUUCUCGGAUGGAUUUGAGUAAGAGCAUACGGGGCCGGACCCGAAAGAAGGUGAACUAUGCCUGUAUAGGGUGAAGCCAGAGGAAACUCUGGUGGAGGCUCGCAGCGGUUC